UGUAGUCCCAUGGGAUAUUUGUUGUCCCAUGGGACAAAAAAAAAAUCCCAUGGGAUUAUUAUUAUCCCAUGGGAUUUUUAAUAUCCCAUGGACAAAAAUA
rnacentral:sRNA from 1 species